rnacentral:rRNA from 1 species
UCGGGAAUAUUGCGCAAUGGAGGAAACUCUGACGCAGUGACGCCGCGUAUAGGAAGAAGGUUUUCGGAUUGUAAACUAUUUUAGUCAGGGAAGAAAAAAGACGGUACCUGAAGAAUAAGCUCCGGCUAACUACGUGCCAGCAGCCGCGGUAAUACGUAGGGAGCAAGCGUUAUCCGGAAUUAUUGGGUGUAAAGGGUGCGUAGACGGGAAUACAAGUUAGUUGUGAAAGCCCUCGGCUUAACUGAGGAACUGCAACUAAAACUAUAUUUCUUGAGUGCAGGAGAGGAAAGCGGAAUUCCUAGU